rnacentral:ncRNA from 7 species
GCCCGGCUAGCUCAGUCGGUAAAGCAUG